UGGUAGGGACGUGCCAAGGGCCCCUGAUAGCACUGAUGCUUUCCACACAGAAUUCAACCCAAAUAAUAAAAACAUGAAUCGAAAACCGUGAUUUUUGUAUUUAUUAUAAUGAGCCGAAACUAAACCCUGUCCACACGCCCAGUAUUUUCCUUUCGACACACCCAGUUGACCAUAGUCCAGUCUCCAUAUUGAGCUGCAGCUAACUACCUCUCUAUGUGAACGUGAGUAAAUUACCUUGAAAACAACGGCCGGACAUCUAGGAAGCAGUCUCCGGUUUGUAUUAUACCUCGGUGGUGGAAACGGAACAAAUAUCGACCGGAUCUUAUUCGGACGACAACAACAUGUAAUUAAAGAUGUUUUGAAGCCGGUGUACAAAACCGAAAGUAAACGACGCAAAGAAGCAUAGAAAUAGCAGAUCUACCGCUUCUCAGACUUGCUUUCAAUGAGAAGACCUCGAUCUAUAAAGGAUAUUAUUAUUAUUUUAUUCUUUAUGAAAGGUGUAACCAAGUCUUCUGAGAACACAGAGAAACAUGGCUACAGUCUUCAUCUGUUCCGUCUGUACCGAGAUUUUCACCGGACAUAUAUCGCUGAGCUGCCAACACAUCUUCUGUAGUCGAUGCCUCCAGAAGAGUGUGGACGCUGGUCGCGUCAUCUGUCCAGUGUGCGGAGAUCUAAUCACGUCGGAGAACUUCAGAGUCAACAGAAUACUAAGGGACAUGGCAGAUGAAGUGAGACGGAGAAGAGUUGAUCUCAGAGUGUUGAAGGGGAAUGAGGACGUUGAUGUGAAUAUCUGGGAAAGCUACAAGAAGAAGAAGAAGAAGAAGAAGAAAAAUGUUAAAAUAUCAAAGUCCUAUAUGAAGGAAGGCCUGGCUGUCAGAAAGACAGAGGGGAAGCUGAAGUCUUCUCUGACCACUGGUCCCUGGGAAGGUAUACUUUUUGGUAUUAUGGCCUUUUGUUGCUUUAUUUCUGUACUGCCUUGUGUUGUCCUUCCUUGUGUGGAAAAUGUGUCUGUAACGAUGUCAGGAAAUGCAGCCAAGGUGUUCGGAUCUCUUUUGGUGUUCAUUUCUAUGUUUGUUGUCUUCGGAGUUGUUGCUCAUUCGGUGGAUUUUGUGUUGAAAAAAGUUUAGACUUAAAGGAUUUUAUUAUAGUAAUAAGUGAUUGAUUGCUUUUAUGCAGUGUUGGAGAAUCACCGGAUGCCGCUAAAUACCUUUCCCAGAAGUUUGGUGGUAGUUUAACAACUUUUUGAAAUGAAUUACCUUAUUGAGUUGACCACAUCUAUAGGUUUAUGCCCAGUUUAUUGUUGCUAUAAGUGUAGUAGAUUUUACUAUCAGUUGUAAAAUGAUAUGUUGUGAAGUUAGCUUUAAACUGCUAACUGGUUAUAUGGAAGGAAAGGACGAUGGGUUUAUUGUUGUAAAACUUUCCCCUGUAAAUUUACCAGCAUUAUACUGGUACCAGAGUUGCCAGCGUAAUACUGUAAUUUUGCUUUACAGCAGAGAUGCUGUAAUAUAUUUUACAGUACCUAUUUUCCUUACUGUAAAACAUAUUACAGCAUCCCUGCUUUAAAUUUACAGCUGUAAGGUUUUACAGCUGUAGUAUUCAAAGUUGAGGUUCGUGACCCCCACAACUGCAGUCGUGUUGCCAACAAUUUUAUUUUAAAUUGUUAAUAUUAUUAUUUAGUGUUAUUCUUUUUUUAUGAACAAAAAAAUAAAAUAUUAGACAAUAUAGAAACAUUUUUGAGAAAAGAUCAUCUGAAUUUUUAAUUUAAAAAAAAUGUAUUACACUACAUGUAUUUAUUGGUUUCUUUUCAGUUUGAUAACAGAUUAAAAUGUAAUGAAUUUAAUGUUAUUUGUUUAUGUAAAAAUAGAAAUGUAGCUAAUUUUAAGGUUGUGUCAUUAUAUUUGGAAAUUCUUGCGAAAAAAAUGGGGUCCCCGCUGAAAACGUUUAAAUACCACUGUUUUACAGUAAGGAAAAUAGUACUGUAAAAUAUAUUACAGCAUAUCUGCUGUAAAGCAAAAUUACAGUAUUAAGCUGGCAACUCUGGUGCCAUUACAAUGCUGAAUAUUUACAGUGAAAAACUACCUGAAAUCUAAAUACAAAGAAAUAUAUAUAUACAUUUGUACAUAAAAUACAUGAAUUCAAAUAGCUAACAACAUUAACUACAAACUAACAACAUAAUUGACAAUAGAAGUAACAGCAAUUAACACGUAUGUAACCAAAUAAGAGCAUCAUUACAACACUAAUUUAAAACUAUAUUGUGUGGGGAGGGGGGUGUGUGUGGGGGGCAAAAGAGAGAGAGAGGGAGAUUUAGAUUAAAUUGGGAUUGGGUACAAUCCUAGAUCUAUGAUCAGGGACUACUCUAUUCCGGGUUAUUGGGGUUCAGAGGCGGUCAAACACACAGCGGAAAGUCGGCAUCAUGUGUUCCUCAUGGGGCUCCGUAACAAACGUCCUCGGGUUCUGAUUGGUCAGCUCUUCUCAACCCUAGGACAAGCAUAGAAAAAUAAAGAAUAGAAUGAAAGACGGAGAGCACCAGGGCUGUUACUCUGGGGGUAAAUAGAGAGACAGAGAGCACCAGGGCUGUUACUCUGGGGGUAAAUA